rnacentral:rRNA from 1 species
AUGCGUCCUCCAAGAGUGUGGGUUGAUGAUCGUCGCAAGUUUCUGGUCUUUCUCAAGAAGUAUGUCUUCGGGCCGGUGGAGAGUCAAUACAUGAUUAAGUUUACUAGGUAUACAACUGUUGCGUGGUGGGAGGGUCUAGAAGCAGAAUUUCCUUUCUGCACCUAUGCCCUGACUCCAAUUAAUCAGCUCCCAAGGCCUACAAACACGCUUGAGCGUUUCACGGAUGUGGUUGGGAUUAUCCCAGGUUUCUUUUCUUUCAUGUUGGAAUCGGUGAGAAUACCAUGCCGGCACUCCUCGUAUUCUCUCCACUAUGUUUGGCUAAGGUUGCAAAGGUGGGUACAAGGAGAUGAGUCUCGUGGCAGUGAGCGGAACGGAGACAAGAAUGGCGACUUGAUGCUUCUCGAAGACCUCCUCUGGAGGUGGUGGCCAAAGGCAAAUGGUACAAAACCUCCAUGA